rnacentral:lncRNA from 1 species
AGAGAAAGAAAUUCAACAAGAGGGGACACUCUUCAAAAACUGGCAACAGGAAACACGUCACGCCUAGUUUCAACUCCAUCCGUUAGUUGACGCAAGCAUCAAGAAAAAAGAAUGUGAAAUAAACUUCCAGACAACGUUUUAUUUUUUUUAUUCUUUCCCACUAAAAGUGAAAAAGUUUUGCGUGUAAAUGAACUUAUACUUUGCAAUUUCUGGUUGCGUUGCCUAGCAACAAGCUAGCGGCACGCCAGACGCGCGUGCCUACGUCAUGCGCCAGACAAGCCGCAGGAGUGAGCGACGCCGGCUGCGCAUGUGAAGCUCGCGUGCUCGGCGACCCGUCUCUUUUGGAUGUAGCCCGUUUUCGAGGCUCCCGGCGUUCUCUUGUGUUCCGUCUGCAUUUCGACACGGCACCGCUACACUACUGGACUACAGCAAGCUGAUGGCAUCCGGUGGACCUUCGUACGGCAACGACUGCUGCCUACCUGGUGCCCCAACUUUGGAUGAAUGUAGAAGCCCGGAGCGAGUAUUUAUAUAGAGCAAAAUAAACAUUUCAUCAUUU